rnacentral:rRNA from 1 species
UACGUAGGGGGCAAGCGUUGUCCGGAAUCAUUGGGCGUAAAGCGCGCGUAGGCGGCCCGGUAAGUCCGUUGUGAAAGUCAAAGGCUCAACCUUUGAAUGUCAGUGGAUACUGCCGGGCUAGAGUCCGGAAGAGGCGAGUGGAACUCCUGGUGUAGCGGUGGAAUGCGCAGAUAUCAGGAAGAACACCAACGGCGAAGGCAGCUCGCUGGGACGGUACUGACGCUGAGACGCGAAAGCGUGGGGAGCGAACAGG